ACUCUGCUUCAGCUCACCCUCCAUGGGCUGCACUCACCUUCCAACCAGUCUCAAUGAGAUGAACCAGGUACCUCAGUUGGAAAUGCAGAAAUCACCCGUCUUCUGCGUCAAUCACGCUGAGAACUGCAGACCAGAGCUGUUCCUAUUUGGCCAUCUUGGAACCGGUCUGAGUCUGUUUUAGCCAGAUCAAGUACUUGCAGACACUUGAAGAAGCAUCUUUCUUGUGAUCUCCUGGCUGGUACCCUGAAGUCCUGUUAUGCCAAUGGACCAGCAACCCUCGCAGAUAUGUAUUCUGCAAUCAUGACCAAACAGAAGGACUAAAUCUGGAUCAGAAUCUGAAAUGUAAAAAGGCUACUUGUCAACCACGCCAUUGUUUUCCGUUGGAGCUAGCAGAGCAGCCUCGGCUGCACAUUCCUGGGACGUGAAUAAUAUCGGUUGUGAUUACACUUCAGUAUCUCAUCCAUUACCAGCCCUGUGAACACUGAAUAUAACCUAAUUAGGAAAUGCGAAGGGCCCUUUGCUAGGGAUGAGUGCUGGGGCAGCAGAGGUCCACAUGCCUUCCCGACACAGGGAUUCACCG
rnacentral:lncRNA from 1 species